GGGAUAGAAUUCCAGGAGUAGCGGUGAAAUGCGUAGAUAUCUGGAGGAAUACCAAAGGCGAAGGCAGUCCCCUGGUCCGAUACUGACACUGAGGUACGAAAGCGUGGGGAGCAAACAGGAUUAGAUACCCUGGUAGUCCACGCCCUAAACGAUGUCGAUUAGCCAUUGGAAGGACCCCUUUUCCUUUCAGUGACGUAGCUAACGCGUUAAAUCGACCGCCUGGGAAGUACGACCGCAAGGUUAAAACUCAAAGGAAUUGACGGGGACCUGAACAAGCGGUGAAUGAUGUGGAUUAAUUCGAUGCUACGCGAAGAACCUUACCUACCUUUGACAUGGCCAAAGUUCUACCGAGAGGCGGAAGUACUCGUAAGAGGAUUGGCGCACAGGUGCUGCAUGGUUGUCGUCAGUUCGUGUCGUGAGAUGUUGGGUUCAGUCCCGCAACGAACGCAACCCUUAUCUUCAAUUGCUCCUAUUUUAACAGGCACUUUAAAGAAACUGCCAAUGAUAAGUUGGAGGAAGGUGGGGAUCACGUCAAGUCCGCAUGGCCUUUAUAGGUAGGGCUUCACACGUCAUACAAUGGUUAGAACAAAGAGCUGCAAAUUCGUAAGAAGGAGCCAAUCUCACAAACCUAACCUCAGUUCGAAUUGCGGUCUGCAACUCGAGCGCAUGAAGCCGGAAUCGCUAGUAAUCGUGGAUCAGAAUGCCACGGUGAAUACGUUCUUAGGUCUU
rnacentral:rRNA from 1 species